UUUGUAGCCCUGCUAUGGUAUAACUUAGUGGCAGACGGGUGAGUAAUGUAUAGGAAUCUACCUAGUAGUACGGAAUAAUUGUUGGAAACGGCAACUAAUACCGUAUACGCCCUACGGGGGAAAAAUUUAUUGCUAUUAGAUGAGCCUAUAUUAGAUUAGCUAGUUGGUGGAGUAAUAGCCUACCAAGGCAAUGAUCUAUAGCUGAUCUGAGAGGAUGAUCAGCCACACUGGAACUGAGAUACGGUCCAGACUCCUACGGGAGGCAGCAGUGGGGAAUAUUGGACAAUGGGCGAAAGCCUGAUCCAGCCAUGCCGCAUGAGUGAAGAAGGCCUUUGGGUUGUAAAGCUCUUUUAGUGAGGAAGAUAAUGACGGUACUCACAGAAGAAGUCCUGGCUAACUCCGUGCCAGCAGCCGCGGUAAUACGGAGAGGGCUAGCGUUAUUCGGAAUUAUUGGGCGUAAAGGGCGCGUAGGCGGAUUAGUAAGUUAAAAGUGAAAUCCCAAGGCUCAACCUUGGAAUUGCUUUUAAAACUGCUAAUCUAGAGAUUGAAAGAGGAUAGAGGAAUUCCUAGUGUAGAGGUGAAAUUCGUAAAUAUUAGGAGGAACACCAGUGGCGAAGGCGUCUAUCUGGUUCAAAUCUGACGCUGAGGCGCGAAGGCGUGGGGAGCAAACAGGAUUAGAUACCCUGGUAGUCCACGCUGUAAACGAUGAAUGUUAAAUAUGGGAAGUUUUACUUUCUGUAUUACAGCUAACGCGUUAAACAUUCCGCCUGGGGACUACGGUCGCAAGAUUAAAACUCAAAGGAAUUGACGGGGACCCGCACAAGCGGUGGAGCAUGUGGUUUAAUUCGAUGCAACGCGAAAAACCUUACCACUCCUUGACAUGAAAAUCAUAACCUAAUUUCA
rnacentral:rRNA from 1 species